CUUUCAACAACGGAUCUCUUGGUUCCAGCAUCGAUGAAGAACGCAGCGGAAUGCGAUAAGUAAUGUGAAUUGCAGAAUUCGGUGAAUCAUCGAAUCUUUGAACGCACAUUGCGCCCCUCGGUAUUCCGGGGGGCAUGCCUGUUCGAGCGUCAUUAACACCCCUCAAGCGUAGCUUGGUAUUGGGCCUCCGCCGUCGCGGCGGGCCCGAAA
rnacentral:rRNA from 1 species